UUUCCGUAGGUGAACCUGCGGAAGGAUCAUUAAAGAUUCUAAGGCUUCGGUCUUAAUUUCGGCUGUGCGCUCAGGCUGCACGCCGUUAACCUCUCACACCUGUGCACCUUUUCGGUUGCGGCUUCGGCCGCUUCCGCUUUUACAUGCAACCACGAAAAGUCUAGAAUGUGACGAGAACUAUAAAGUAACAACUUUCAACAACGGAUCUCUUGGCUCUC
rnacentral:misc_RNA from 1 species